rnacentral:rRNA from 1 species
AUUGAACGCUGGCGGCAGGCUUAACACAUGCAAGUCGAGCGGGGGAAGGUAGCUUGCUACCGGACCUAGCGGCGGACGGGUGAGUAAUGCUUAGGAAUCUGCCUAUUAGUGGGGGACGACAUCUCGAAAGGGAUGCUUAUACCGCAUACGUCCUACGGGAGAAAGCAGGGGAUCUUCGGACCUUGCGCUAAUAGGUGAGCCUAAGUCGGAUUAGCUAGUUGGUGGGGUAAAGGCUUACCAAGGCGACGAUCUGUAGCGGGUCUGAGAGGAUGAUCCGCCACACUGGGACUGAGACACGGCCCAGACUCCUACGGGAGGCAGCAGUGGGGAAUAUUGGACAAUGGGGGGAACCCUGAUCCAGCCAUGCCGCGUGUGUGAAGAAGGCCUUAUGGUUGUAAAGCACUUUAAGCGAGGAGGAGGCUACUUUAGUUAAUACCUAGAGAUAGUGGACGUUACUCGCAGAAUAAGCACCGGCUAACUCUGUGCCAGCCGCCGCAGUAA